UCAACAACCCGGUCGGGUGACUUGACUAUUUACCGCCAUAAUCUACCUGACUCAUAUUCCAAUUGUUGUAGUAUCUUAGAAGGCUAUAAAAGAUUCAUCGUAACUUUCUCCUUCUGCCGUCAAAAUGGUAAGGUGCCACCACAUUCACAGCGAAACGUUGCGAGGUGUUCUAGCAGAGUUCCUUGGGACAUUCGUAUUUGGGUCAUUUGUUAUGGGAUCUUCUGCACAAAACACCUUCAGUAACAAUCCAAAUACUCUGCAGGCAAAUUUAGCGUCUGGAAUUGGUUUAAUGGUCGGCAUUUAUAUAUCAGGAGGAGUUUCAGGUGGACAUCUCAACCCAGCUGUAACUCUUGCCUGUUGUUUGGGAAAGAAGACUUCUUGGAAGAGGCUACCUUUCUACUGGAUAUCACAGCUAUUGGCUGCUGUACUGGCAGCUGCACUUCAAUAUGGAAUUUGUUAUGACGUCAUUGAAGAAUUCAAUGGUAACAUUAGAAAUCAAACCACAGCCGCCAUCUUUGUGACCUAUCCUCCUACGUUUACGAAUACAUAUGUAGGUUUUAGUAACCAGGUAUAUGCAACAUUCUUCUUCUGUGGUGGAAUUCUUGCAAUUAUUGACUCCAACAGUACGGUUUCAAGUCCAAACAUGGCACCAUUGGCUAUUGGUUUGCUUCUUACAGCUGUUGUCAGUUCUUAUGGCUUAAAUGGUGGUCCUGCAGUAAACCCAGCAUUAGACUUGGGACCACGAAUUGUCUUGUUGCUUGCAGGUUGGGGAGUAGAACCAUUUACUUUUAGGAACCUCAAUUGGUUUUGGGUGCCGAUUGUUGGGCCCUUGUUAGGAAGUUUCUUGGGGUGGUUAUUUUACCAUGCCUUCGUUGCUCACCACUGGUCUGAAAUGGAUACUUUUUCGGAUUUUUUGUCGUCUACAGGUAAAUAUGAAGGUCAGAACAUCGUAACCGACCAUAUCACAAACUACCCAACUUCUAUGGAAAGUAUAUGGACCCUUGGAACCACAGAGAAUAACAUCAACAAAUUUGAAAUCAGAGAUUAAGAGAGAGAUUUAUAACACAGCUGAGGAGGAUGGGAUCAUGAAGCAGUCUCGAAGAUGACGAAAGAUAGUGGAACAAAAUCGGACAUACGUGGUUGAACAACAAUUCGGCGACCAUUACUCGACUGUGAAACGAUUGAAGAGGACCUGGCUUUGUAUUCGUUAGGAUCGAAAUUUAUCCAUUUCACUGUUCUUGAAAUGGUGAUCUACAGCCAGAUCAAAUGAUGCGAAGAAAAUAAUGGUUGCACAUUUAUAUAAGUAAUUAUAUAUAUGCAUGUUCGUAUGUGUGUGUGUAUGUGUGUAUUCAAGUAUAUGUAUGUAGGUUUGUGUAUGUAUGCAUGCGUGUACGUGU